CCUUAACAUUGACUCAAGAAUAUCCUGAGCUGGAAGGGACCCACAAGGAGCAUCAGCCCAACUCCUGGUUCUGCACAGGACACCCUAA